rnacentral:tRNA from 1 species
GUUAGUAGCUCAGUGGUUAGAGCGGAGCGCUCAUAACGCUUUGGUCGUGGGUUCAAGUCCUACCUAACC